UAAAAAGCUAUUCAAUUUAUAAUAUAUUGUAAAAUAGUCAAAAAGGUAGCAAAAUUGAAAAAUACGCCUGUUUUGAUGAAUGACAGCUACACUAAAAGCAAUAUGUAAGAUCUGAGAUAAAAUUUCGUUUAAACAUUUCAGACAAAGACCACCAGCUGAUAAAACAUGCACAGGAAAUGAAAACACACAGAAUAUGCAAAUGAGUACCAUCAACUACGAAGAGAUUGAAUCAGCUUCAACGUAUGCCGAGCCUUUAGAACCGAAGAAACAGCUUGAUGGUGGUGCAAAAACAGUGUAUGACACAACAUAUGAAGACCAACCGAAUGUUCCCGAUAAUAGUAGUGAAUAUGCUGUUGUUAAUAAUGAAAAGUUUAUUAAGGAACCAAAGGUAUUCACUGAAGAAGUCUAUGACACAACGCACGAUAAGAAGGACAACCGACCAUUAAAAGGUAAACAAUGAGUAUGCCGUACUCAGUGUUAGGUCUAACAAACCUGCUGAUGUUGGUAAUCAAAGCGGGGCAUUUUGCGGAGAUGAUGUUUAUGACACUACAGAAGAAAACCAAAACAAAGCAAUUCUUCAUUCAUUCAGUGAUUAUGCUUCAUACGACGGUAAGCUAGGAGGAAACAGUAAAACAGACUCUGCAGUUGCAGUAUAUGAUACUACAGGUGAUGGAACAGAUAAGAAAAAUGUUCCAAUAAACAAUGACUAUGAUGUUUUUAGCACAGAUAGUAAACAAAUAUAGUAAGGUUAGAGAAAAAGAUGCACGAUUCUUAGAUUCUUAUUAUCAUUGUGCAGAACAUUAAAAUGUAUCGUAUACACCCACACAAGUAAACGCACCUUGUGACGGCAUAAACGAACAUAGCUUAUAUGCCUAUAAGGUUUUGUUUUUUUAGUUACAAAAUACGUUCAUAUUUGACAGAAGAAAUACAAAAUCCGUAUCCGUAUUCAAUACUUUGUAUUCCUCGCCUAGCUUGUGUUCGUACAUUUCCGUGUUUCCAGAACUUGCCGCAUAUCGAAGGGAACAACCUUAAUUUAUUUACCAUGCGGUCUCUCAAACAUACCACAGCAUUGAUGGCAAUGCACUAAAAUUAUAAUUAAAGUGACAUUUUUGGUCAUUUUCUCUCUGUCAAAUUGAGUUGAAUUCCAUAGAUUAACCAAUAAUUGAUAAUGAAAAAAAUUAUUAUGCAAUAUAAAAACAAGAUUGAAUGUAAAAAAGAUUCCCUAACUCUUUUUUAAGUAUUGAAUGUUACCGAUACAUUCUGAACGAUAUUGAUAGAAACAUCUGUUGGUCACCUGGAUUAUUGAUUGUUUUGUUUUUUUCAUAGAAGAAUAUUAAAUUGAACACAAGUAUGGCAACAUCUCUAGUUUUUUUUAUAUUUUUUAUUUUUACCUGUUCGCUGACUAUUAACACUUGUGAGUAAGACCUAACUUAAUGCAUAUCAUGUCAUAAUAAGAUGCCAAAUUUUUCCAUAAUUUUGUCUGAAUCAUAUAAAUGUUUCAAAAUCGAUACUGCUGACAUUUUACUCAUGGAAAAGGCGGUAAAAUUCGCGCGCUCCAUGACGUCAAACAUUUUCAUACUCGUUUCAAAGCACAACACUACUUACGUGCGUAGUCUUUCAAAGUAAAACAAAUAUUUUGUUUCUUUAAAAUAAAUACUACGUAUGUUUAGUGAAGCAAUACAAUAAACAGAUACUACAUUAUUGUGCUGUUUCAAUAGACUGUAUUAUGCUACUUUAUUGGACUGUAUUGUGAAAUGUUACUAAAGUAUAAUGUACUAUAUUUAUUUUAUUGGACAGUAUUGUACUAUAAUAACCAUUGAACUGUAUUAUACUACACGUAAUUUAUUGGACUGUAUUGUGCUAUUUUAUUGGACUGUAUUGUGCUAAGUUUUGGAAUGUUUUGUGAUAUUUUAUUGGACUGUAUUGUGCUAUUUUACUGAGUUUUAUUGUGCUAUUUUAUUGGACUGUAUUAUGCUAUUUUAUUGGACUGUAUCGCUCUUGUUGUUACCAUUCAGAACAGGACAUUAAUGCAAUAUUCUUUUAAUUUUCGGGAAGUAUAUUUGUCAAGUUUGCAAUUAAAAUUAGAUGAGAAAAUCAAAACAGCGAUGUAUAAGUGUGUAUGAUCUCUUGAGGUAAUUUUAAAGAGGCACUUUACUUAUUGCAAUGUAUACUACUCCACGAUCUCUCGAAAGUUUUAUUUGUUUUUAGGAUUAAUAUGUUUCAGGAGUUAAGGCUUAGUUGUUCUGUCUUUCUUUAGGACAUUGAGUACUUAUGUUAUGGUCAUUGGGUGUACUUUUAUAUGUUUCUACAUGAUCAUUUUGGUGUUUUACUUAUUUAACCGUUUGUGACCAUAACAAGUGUCAGAAUGUCACUUGGCGGGGAUUAAUUUUUUUACACUCUUGUUUAUAGGAACAUGAUAGGGCUAAGAUUGAGGUUUGGUGCACCAUUAACCGGUUUAAAGUCAACAGCAGUACUUGUGCUGCUGACCGUUCCGAGGCAGCGCCUCUCUCUGUUCCUCAGAUGUAUGUCUGUGUUGUUUCAUGCUGUUUUGGUGACACUUUUGCUUGUGUCCCUUUCCCCUGUGCCCUUUGACUUAGUUGGCCUAUUAUUCAAUCAUUUAUUUGUUUUCUUUGAAUUUCUUAUCAGUUACAAAUUAUUUUCUAUUAUUCAA